AGGUGUCCUUAAGCAUUCCAUACCAGUUUCAGAAUCACUGUCUGCCUGGAGCAGAGAGGACCACUGUGGACUUGUCACUUCUUCGUCAAUCAGUGUGUGUCUCAACUUUGGCUCAGGCUCUCACCUCAGCUUCUAUUGCUCCCACACGUGAGGUGAAGAAGAUGAAACAUUUUUGUGCCUAGCUAUUGACAGGCUGGAAGAUGGCCUUCAUAUGAGAUAAAACCAACCAAAGAAGAAUAAAGGAUCCAUUUAUUGGAGAAGACAGGCCCCCGAGAUAUGGGAAGAGGUGAAAUUCUCCAAAGAAAUCAAGAGAGAAUAGAGAGCUGUUAUAGGCAAACAAGACCUAUAGUCACAUCCCUCCUUUGGAUAGUUUACAACAAUAAAGAUUUCUACCAACAACUUUCAAUUUUAUCUUCUUUUGUGGAAUACCUUAUAACUUCCUUUAUGUGAACAAGUACAAGCAAUAAAUCUAAUAAAUUGCUCAUGCUACCUAAAACCUAUUUGGCACUUGAAGGGUUUAUGAAUUUCUGUGGAAGUUUUCUCCACCUUCCCUACCCUUUAAAGUUUUGGCUGAAAUGUAGGUAGAUGUUCAAGGGCAUAACUAAUGUCUUUUCUAAUCUCUUUUCCAAAGAAGAUAAAAAAGAAAGCAUAUGUUAAAUGUUUCCUUUUAAAAGUAUUUGAAAAAUGAUUUCUAAUCAAUAAUUUAAUGAAAUAAAUAAAGGUUAUAAUCUGAAGAUAAGUUUCCUCCAAUU